rnacentral:tRNA from 1 species
GGGCGAUUAGCUCAGUUGGUUCAGAGCGCCUGCCUUACAAGCAGGAGGUCACUGGUUCGAGCCCAGUAUCGCCCA